CGCUUUUGUGGGGUGCUCGAGUGGCGAACGGGUGAGUAACACGUGAGUAACCUGCCCUUGACUUUGGGAUAACUUCAGGAAACUGGGGCUAAUACCGGAUAGGAGCUCCUGCUGCAUGGUGGGGGUUGGAAAGUUUCGGCGGUUGGGGAUGGACUCGCGGCUUAUCAGCUUGUUGGUGGGGUAGUGGCUUACCAAGGCUUUGACGGGUAGCCGGCCUGAGAGGGUGACCGGCCACAUUGGGACCGAGAUACGGCCCAG
rnacentral:rRNA from 1 species